AAGUCGGCGAGAAAACUGUCGGCUGCCGUGAGAUCGUGGGUGAGGCGAAAGAGCUGACUUUCCUUUAACGAUGGCCGGCGAAAGAGGGUGGACGAUGGACGAGAUGAGAUGUGUUCUUCCGGCUUCGAGAGACGAGUUCUAUGAAGAUCUUGCAUCAGGCCAUCUCCGACGGCACCACCAUCAAAACAGUUGAGUCCACCUUAUAAACCACCAUCAAAACAAAUGCCAAAUAAGUCGGAAGAGCACAUCUCAUAUUCGUACAUUGUCCACCCGGAAUUCUUCUGCCGGUAGUCGUUGAAGGAAAGGCUGCUCUUUCACCUCAUCAUCAUCUCGCGCCUGGCGACGGUUUUGUUGACUAGUUCUUGCUUUUUGUCCAGAGUCUAAGAACCGGUGCCGGCCUUUCGAUCCACGCGCGCAAAGAAGUAUCCCUCCUGUCGAUCGCUCGGUCCUGUAGACGUCAGCGAAGGCGACAGCGUGGACAGACUUCAUGGACGACGGUUGUUUCUUGAAGAGGAGAGGAGAGGAAAUGAACGAAGAGGCGGAGAAGGGAGCAGAGAGGCGAGGGGCGAGAAGAUAAAGUGCCUUCAUCUUCUUUGAAUCCCAUCGCCCCGUUCGGUUCGAUCUUGAAGAUGGAGGUAUCUGCGCUGGUGUUGGCUUGUGGCGUGAGGGUGGGAGCUGAUGGAAGGUACAAGAUUUGGUGUUGUAUUGGCAAUCCGUUGGCAUUGCAUUCGGCAGCAUGCUUCCGAGGCCAAGUGCUUCACAGUGCCGUCUUCACCAGAGGGUUGGAACUGAUGGAACCAAUAAUAGGUCCCUGUAUGCCAUCAAGGUCGGACCUUUCCACGACCCCAAGUGAUUUCUUUUCGAUUCUUACCACACCAUCGCUUUGAAGUUUCUCUAAACUAAAGAUCCGGAAGUACACUGUCAAGCUUGGGUAGCUUCUUAGCAUAUACUUCAAGAUUGAGUAGCGAUAUUAUCAGACAAAUAGAAUGGAUGGAUCACAGCGACACUCAUCAAUAUGAAAAGAGGCAAAAUCAUCACAAAAACCAUAAGAACAUAGUGCUCCAACACCCAUAUAGCCGAAUACUUACAAGCAGACAGCUAGAGUGGCCCUCUGUGCAUCUUCACUGUAGUGCCAGAUUUAUUUUGCUGGAGCGUUGUUAGGAACUAUCUUAUUAAUGAGACAUGCUGACUAUGACUUGCCAUUUUGCUCACCAGGUUCCUUUGACUAUCCUUACUGUUCCAUCGACUACCCUUACUGCUCCAUUGACUACUAAGCUGCAUAAGUCUGUUAGCAAUACUAACUCUGCUUAUUUAGAUCGUGUUACUGAAAAGAAGCUCUUGGGGAAGUACUAAAUGGUGAUCGGGUCGAUGCUCCAUAUGAGUUCAAUUUUCUGGAGGAAAAGCAGUUAAAGUCUCUUUGUGAGAAAAACUUAUCAAAGGAAGAUGUUGCAAAGUUCAGACAUGCUGUAUCAAGGGACUACUACUUUGAAAUGUAUUAUGAUGAUAUGCCUCUAUGGUGAUUCUUGGGCAAGACUUAGAGGGACAAUACUGAUUCGGGCAAAGACAAUCACUUGUUCUUUAAACACAUCCACUUGAAUAUUCUUUACAAUGAUGAUAGGGUUAUAUAGAUCAAUGUCCAACAUUAUUGUGGAUAUCUUGGAGGAUAAGGAAUUGGAUGUAGAGUUUUUAUAUUCUGUUACAUGGAAAAAGAUUGACAUAUCUUUUGAAGAAA